rnacentral:rRNA from 1 species
GACGAACGCUGGCGGCGUGGAUUAGGCAUGCAAGUCGAACGGUAUCAUCCUUUCGGGGGUGAGAGAGUGGCGAACUGGUGAGUAACACGUAGGUUAUCUACCCUCAAGACGGGGACAACCCAGGGAAACUUGGGCUAAUACCGGAUGUGAGCAACUUUUAGUUGUUUGAAAGGUGGCGUAAGCUGUCGCUUGGGGAUGAGCCUGCGUCCUAUUAGUUAGUUGGUGAGGUAACGGCUCACCUAGGCAAUGAUAGGUAGGCGGCCUUAACGGGUGGUCGCCCACACUGGGAUUGAGAUACGGCCCAGACUCCUACGGGAGGCAGCAGUCGAGAAUAGUCUACAAUGGUCGGAAGACUGAUAGUGCGACGCCGCGUGAACGAUGAAUCCCUUCGGGGUGUAAAGUUCUUUUAUAUGUGAGCAGUGCUUCUUAUAUUAACAGUAUGGGGAGAGAGAUAUUAGCAUAUGAAUAAGCAACGGCUAACUCCGUGCCAGCAGCCCGCGGUAAUA